rnacentral:lncRNA from 1 species
GGGUUUAAUGAAUCACAUAUAUAAAUUCUUUCUUUCUGACAUAAGAGAGAAAGAGAAUGCACAAAAACCCUUGAAUUUUCUGCCUUUCUUUCAACGCCAGACCCCAACCGCAAUCAUCAUGUCCUUCCCCUCUUCCCCUCACCUUCUCCAUCGCCAUCAUUGUACCCACACCUUCUCUUCUCUCACCAACUCCAUAACCCACAAAGCGUCAUCAUUAUUUCCACCAGCAAAAGGCAACAGCAGAAGCAGAAGAAAGAAAAAAAAAAUCCAGAAAACAACUCUUCCAUGUGUGAGUUUUGCUCUCUCUGUCUCUCUCUCUCUUGGUUUUCAGUGAAGAAAGCUAGAUAGCUCGCUCGCUCGCCUUUUAAGACUUGAAAGGAGGCCCUUUUCUUCUUUCGGGGAAUCAAGCAUCUUGGUCCGAUAUGAUUUUCUUUGCUUCAUCAAGCAAAUUCGUUUGCCCUUUUUAAUCUUUGCUUGUAUAGAUCUUGUUCUUGAAUCUUCUGUGAGUGUUUGAUGUGAUUUUUUUUUACUUUUUCUUUAUAUUAUCUAGCUAGGGUUUUUGUUGAUGAUGAUAACUCUAUGAGCUUUCUGCUAUGAUUUAUGUAUAUUGUCGUCUUGUGUCUUUCUCUUUCUCAUUGAAACCUGUACUGUGCUCGUUUGUGGAUAAGAUGAUAGAUCUUGAAUGUUCCAGUGUGAAAUGAAAUCAACCAUGGAUUUUUCUCUUUGAUUUCUGAAUACCAGUUAUAAAAGCUUUCUCAAGCAGAUCUAAUGGAUUCAUCAUCUUCAUAACUGGCAAGCUAGGGUUCAUAUAUAGUUUUUGUGUUUGUGAGAAAUAUUUCAAGAAUUUCUUCGUUUCCUUGUUCGGCCAUUCAAACUUUUGUUAAUUAACACAAACGAUUACUUUAUCAAUUUUCUUAAUUAAUUUCUUCAGAUAUUAAAAGUUUAUUUUUUAAUUUUUUUAGCAGAUUAAUUAAUUAAUGGAUUUGGAAGACUGUGUUUGAAUUUGCUUGCUUAUAUAAAUUAAUCCAUUUUUGUAGUCUGACUGAGUCUUAAGUUUAAUUGAUUAUUGCAUGUGAUCACGCAUCAUUCCCUGGGUGAUUAAAUUUGUGAUUUGGAUUAAAUAUCAUCACUGUCAAGUUCUUUGGAGAUGAUAAUUAAAUUUAUGUAUUAAUUCAAAACUAAUUCAUUUAUACUUCAUCCAUUUCACUACUCCAAGUAAAAUUAUAAUUUUAUUAAAUAUAAAAUAUAUUAUUUUAUAAAAAAUAUAAAAUAAAUUAUUUUUUAAAAUAUUUGUUUUUUUGAGAUUUUUAAACUCUUAAUAGAAUUAAGAUAAUGAAUGUCAUUGCAUAAAUUAAACUCUAAACUCUAGGAUCUUGUUUGAUAAUAACUAUUCGCUAUUAUAAUAGUAUAGUUAUUAUGGAAUAAUAUGUAUAAACGUAUAUAUGCAACGGCUAAGCUUGCUUCAACUAUAUAUAAAAUCUCAAGUUUGAGCUCGUUCCAUGGUUCUACAAAGUAGAAGAAGUAAUUGAAAUGAACAGGGCCGUACUGGUAUUAUUAUUAUUACAGAGAGCAGAGGAACUUUUAAGACGAAACUCAAGCUGUAUGCAAUGAUAUGGUACAAUGGAAAGAGUAAUAUGAGGGUAGUGGUGGUUCCCAGCGGUGCAGUUGUGCCGACCGACACCUUUUAUCCCAAACUGAUUGUCCUUUUUAUUUUUAGUUUGCAUACAUAAUAUACAUGAAUUUCGAGGAAUUAUUCACAUCUUUUAGAAUAUAAUUGAAUUAAGAUUUUAUUAUUAAAAUAUAUUAAAUAAAUUAAUUUUAUUCACACGUUGUAAUAUAAAUAAUUGGAUGUACCACUCUACUCAUCAUAAUCGAAAAUACUAAAUCAAUCCACCAACUGAACAUGUCGGAAACUUGCAUCCCAAAUGUUUAGCUUCUUUUGUUAUGAUAAACUUUGUUAAAUUUCAAUAGAGAUAAUGUAUUCUUAUAAAAGUUGUCGGCACUCCUCUCUCUUAAAUUAGUUUUUGAAAUAAGUUAGAUCUAAUUCAAAUUUAAUAUAGUAUUAGAAUCUCCUACCGAUAUUAGGCCUUUUCUAGAUAUGUCACUCUCGAGUAUAGUUCUGAGUGAUUUAACCUAAAUUUAACAAAUUUUGUAUUAUGAAACAAAAUACCUAUAUCAAUUUCCUAUCACGAGUGCUUGUUCCAAUCCGCUAUAAAUUUCUUCAGUAAUUCUUCCGUAAAUUCUUCUCUCUUUCUCUCUCUCCUCUCCAAACGUGUUUUUACUUUUCAGUAUGCAAAUGUGUUUUCACUUUUCAAUAUGGGUGACUUCAUUGGAGAAAAAAAAUUGUGUUGCGUUUUGUAUUAAGGGGGCUGCUCUCUAGAAGAAGUUGCUUCACUUGCUAUAUUUGUUGCUUGAUAGACAAAUCUCCAUUUUUGAGAGGGAGAGAGAUAGGGUCAAAGGUAGUGAGAAGUAAUAAUUUAUUUGAUUUUUACUUUAACUAUUUAAAAUAUAAAAUUAAUAUUUUAUUCAUUAAAAACUAAUUUUAUCAAUAUAUCUGACUCUGUUAAUUAACACUAUUAAAAUUGGAGCUAUUAAAUCAAAAUUGAAAGUUAGAGGGAUUUGCUUGGACUCAAUAAAUUUUUAAGGGCUUGAUUGACUAUUGACUAAUAGUGAAGGAUUAAAAUGAAUCUUUUAUCUUAAUUGUUUAUCAUAGAAUAAUGGAAAAUUUAAAAAAUAUAAUUUUAUAUUUUAUAAUUAAUAUAUUAAUUAAAGAAUAAUAUAAUCUAAAUAAAAUAUAGAAUUCAUUAGCUAUGAGCAAAUGAGAAUUUUUUUUUUUUCCAAAAUAAAGCAGAAUAAGAAUGCAGCUAAUAUAUAUCAACUAUUUUUAAAAAAAAUUUACUUAACAGGUAAAUUAUUAGUUGUUGGAAGCUUAUAUAUCAAUGAGUAAAUUAAAAAACUACCAUCUUAAUCUAUUCUAUUUGAUGACCGCUGGAUUUCUCCACCCCGGUCAGGGGCCAAGCCCUCGAUCACGGUCCAUCGCUCGGAGGCCACACAACCCCAAUACAAACAGGUCCAGCCCGUUCAAACUUUGAUACAGGGUUCAUAUGGAUUUCUCAACCAGGCCGACCCAGUCCCCACUGCUUCUCAGGCUGAUCCUCCUUGGACUCGGUCUUAUUCCUAUCUCCCGGCCCAACCCGGAAUCGGGAAGAAGGCCCCACUUUCAGCCUUGUAGACCCAUACACACACGCAUGAAGAGAAUCAGGGGCCGUUACGCAUGAGACAGGUACCGGAUAUCCUCGUACAAUCGUAUCAAUAUGGCAGAGACAGGUGGUCCAAUGAUAGCCGGGCCGUUACACGUCACUGGCAGAGGAGGAAAAGAGAUAAAAGGAGAAUGAUCCUCCCCUAAGCUCUAAGUUUUUUUGUUAUUCCAAAAAAUCAUAUUUCUCUGAAUCUCAGAUCAUCAAUUGGCGUCGUCUAUGGGAAACGAAAGAGAUCUUUUCAUCACCGGAGUUCCACUCUUAACAAAACCUACUGAGAUCCACGAUGGCUAAUCACAAUGAAAGCAACCUUAACAUCCCAAAUGACCUGAGCUCUGCCCAAGAGGGGCAGCAGUUCUCCUUUUCUAAUCCUACAACACUAAAUAACCAAACACCUAUUCCUCUCAAUCUCUCGCCAAGCUUGGCAGAGAAUGCUCCCACCGCUACCUUAUCUAACCAGGACCUUCAAACCACGGCCCUCCAACUACAGAACACCGCCCACUGGUUGGGGCAGAUAAUGCAACAAAGGGGCCUCAGCACCCCGAUAAAUACACUCCCAGUGGUAGAAGAACCCCAAACCAAUGAGCCCCAACCUGCCCUUGACCGCCUUCAAACCAGCAGCCGCGGUACAGGAGAAAAGGGGAGAAGAGCCGGGGAAGAGGAAGAACCGGAGGCCCGAGUCCAUGGAAGGAGGGUGAGGGAGAUGAUAGAGAAUGAUGAGGCUGACAACUAUUCCGCCGGGACAACCAGGUGGACGAGAAGUGAAGCAGAGGAGGAGGAAUACCACCUGGAGAAGAAACUCAGGCUGGAAGAUGAGAAUGUAGACCAAAAGCUGCAGAAGUUGAGAGAGCAGCUCUUGGCCGAGCUGGGAAAGAAGGAUCAGAGCCAAACCUUCCUGCCCAUUUCUUCACCUUUCUCGAAGUGGGUGCAACAGGAGACUGUUCCUAAGAAGUUUAUGAUGCCAUCGAUGGCGGCUUAUGACGGAGCUGGAAACCCCCGAGAGCAUGUCCUCAACUACAAGACUUUCAUGGAGCUGCAGACUCUAUCAGAUGCCUUGAUGUGCAAGGCAUUCCCAAUGACGCUCUCGGGGCCAGCACGGGCAUGGUUCAAUAGCCUCAAGGCUGGGAGUAUCAGCAGUUUUGGAGAUCUGGCCACUCGCUUCAUCAGCCGGUUUAUUGCCGGAGUGCCCGCAGAUAGGAAGACGAGCUACCUGGAGACAAUCAGGCAGAGAGGAGACGAAUCGCUCAGGGAGUAUAUCGCUCGUUUCAAUACGGAGGCCCUGCAGAUUCCCAAACUCGAUGAGGGAAGAGCGGUGGAGGCCAUGCAAAAGGGGACGACCUCUGCCGAGUUCUUCGGCUCAUUAAGCAGGAAGCCUCCGACCUCACUGGCCGAACUGAUGAAGAGGGCUGAGAAGUAUAUAAGGCAGGAUGACGCCUUGGUAAAAAGCCGAUUCGCCAAGGGAGUGGCAGGUAAGGAGAAAACCCCGGAGGAAAGGAGGCCGGAGAAGCAAGAGAAGAGACAUGGCAAAAGGCCUGAGCCUUACAGACAGCUCUGGGAGCGAAGGGAUCAAAGACCUCUCCCUCCUCGGGUCUCAUAACAGAAGUCACUCCCUUCGUGGGUUCCAGAGAAGCCGACCCCACUUAAUGCCUCUAGAGCCGAAGUGCUCAUGGCCGUCCAAGAUAAGGAAUUCUUACAGUGGCCCAGACCCCUGAGAACGGAAGCCGACCAGUGAAAUCCUGACAAAUAUUGUCAGUUCCAUCGUACUCAUGGCCACGACACCAAUAACUGUUUCCAAUUGAUCACAGAAAUCGAGAGGCUGAUAAAAAGGGGACACCUGAAGAACUUCGUGAAGAAACCGGAAGGAUAGAGACCCCAGCCCAAUCCGGCAGUCCAAGCGCCGAGGAGAACGGGAGCUAACCCCAUAAACGACGAGUCCAGUGGGACCAUCAAUAUGAUCAUCGGAGGCACAGGAGAUCGGAUGAGUCGAAGGGGGAAAAAGAGAAGUAGAGAGGGAGAAAGCAGAAGUGUUGAGGUCAUGCAGGUCGUCGUACACUCUCCAACGGUCAUCACUUUCUCCCCAAAGGAUGCCCAGGGUGUUCAGAUGCCCUAUGACGACGCCCUUGUCGUUGAAGCUGUCAUUCACAACUACCGAGCAAAGAAGAUCUUGGUAGAUGACGGGAGCAAGGUGAAUCUGCUACCUUAUCGAGUCUUCCAGCAAAUGGGAAUCCCCAAAGAGCAGCUGGUUCGGGAUCAGGCCCCGAUUAAAGGAAUUGGAGGAACGCCAGUAACGGUGGAAGGGAAGGUAAAGCUAGCUCUUACUUUGGGAGAAGCACCAAGGACUCGCUCCCAUUAUACGGUGUUCCUGGUGGCUAAACUCCCCCUGAGCUACAAUGCGAUCCUGGGAAGACCUGCGCUGUUUGACUUUGAGGCCGUCACCAGUAUCAAAUAUCUGGCAAUGAAGUUUCCAAUAGAGGCAGGGGUGGAAAUAGUUCGGGGAAGCCAGGAGGAAGCAAGGGCAGUGUACCUAGCUACGGUAGCAGAGUCGAGCUCAACAGAAGAUAGGCUGGAUUCAGAAGUCCUGGAGGUCCGAGAUGAGAAAACAGAAGCCAGGAUAGAGCCGGUGGGGGAACUGGAGAUUUUUCCUUUAACAGAAGCAGAAACAGAUAAAGUCUUUAGUCUCAACGCCGGCCUCACCAAAGAAUAGAAAACCGAGGUCAUGGCCUUGAUCCGAAGUCACAUGUCAAGCUUCGCCUGGAAGCCUUCUGACAUGCCCGGAAUUGAUCCCGAGGUGAUGACCCAUAAGCUGAACGUCCUCCCCGAAGCCAGGCCGGUGAAGCAGAAGAAGAGGGUGGUAGGAAGGGAGAAGCAACAGGCCACAGGGAGGAAGUGCAGAAGUUAGAAGAGGCAGGCUUUAUUAGGGACGUCAUGUACCCGCAGUGGUUAGCUAAUCCUGUACUAGUCAAAAAAGCCAAUGGCAAAUAUAGGAUGUGCAUAGAUUUCACUGACCUGAAUUAGGCUUGCCCUAAAGAUUUUUAUCCCCUCCCUGAUAUUAAUAAAAUGGUCGAUUCUACGGCCGGUUUUGAUUAUAUGUCGUCUUUGGACGCAAUGUCUGGUUAUCAUCAAAUCCCAAUGGACAGGUCGGACGAAGAAAAUACCUCGUUCAUAACAGAAGAUGGGACUUACUGCUAUAGAGCCAUGCCUUUCGGAUUGAAAAACGCCGGGGCAACUUACCAAAGACUGAUGAACAAAAUCUUCAAAAAUCAUAUCGGCAAAAACGUAGAAGUUUAUGUGGACGAUAUGGUGGUCAAGAGCCUAACUUUCCAACAGCACAUGGUAGAUUUGAGGGAGGUAUUCGAAGUAUUAGACCAGUACAGAAUGAAGCUGAACCCAGCGAAAUGUGCCUUCUUCAUCAGAGGAGGAAAAUUCCUGGGGUACAUGGUGAGUGGGAAAGGCAUCGAGCCCAACCCGGAGAAGGUAGAGGCCAUAUUGAAUAUGCCAGAACCGACCUGUGUAAGGGACGUCCAGAGACUGACCGGGAGAAUAGUGGUGCUUAAUCGAUUCAUGUCGAGGUCGGCAGAAAAGUGUUUACAAUUCUUCAAGAAGUUGAGGAAAGUGCCAAACUUCAAAUGGACAGAAGACUGUCGAGAGGCCUUCAAAGAACUCAAAAGCUAUCUCAGCUCGCCUCACAUGCUUAGUAGUCCCAUAGAAGGUGAGGAACUUAUGAUAUACCUGGCAGCCUCUGAACAAGCAGUCAGCGCCGUAUUGGUAAGGGUGGAAGAAGGAGAGCAGAAGCCUAUUUUCUAUGUCAGCAUGGUGCUUAAAGAUGCCGAGGUCAGAUAUUUGAAUAUUGAGAAGAUAACAUACGCUCUACUACUGGCAGUCCGAAAGUUCAGGGUUUAUCUGGAAAGCCACCAGGGAGUAGUAAUGACAGAUCAACCCUUGAAGAAGAUUCUGCAUAGACCGGAGACCUUAGGCCGGAUGCUAGCUUGGUCCGUUGAGAUUAGUCCUUACUGCCUAGAGUAUCGACCUCGAACAACUAUAAAAUCUCAGGCCCUUGCUGACUUCAUAGCAGAGUGCACAUUCAGUGAGGAACAAGGAGAAUCAUCUUCAGAAGUGUCGGGGAAGGAAAGAAAGGAAGAACUCUUCCAAAAGUUCAGCUGGAAGUUAUAUGUAGAUGGGGCUUCAGGCGCCGGAGGCAGCGGUGCUGGAAUAAUGCUUAAGGGGCCUGGAGAAUUUAAGGUUUGCUACGCCCUACGUUUAGAAUUCAAAGCCUCCAAUAAUAUGGCGGAGUAUGAAGCCCUAAUAAACGGGAUGCUGGUAGCAAUGGAGGUAGGGGCAACCGACCUCGAAGUAAAUAGCGACUCACAACUGGUGGUCAAUCAGAUAACUGGGGCAUAUCAGGCCAGAGAUCCAAUCAUGCAGAGCUACCUGGCAAAAGUAAAAGCUAUAGAGGCUGAACUCAUAGAUUGGGGAGUUACCAUCAAAUUUCAAAGAAUACCUCGAGAAGAAAAUGAGGAAGCAGACCUGCUUAGUCGGUUGUCUAAAGAAGAAUUAGAACAGCUCCCCGAUGAAGUGUACAUACAGCACGUCCAUACGCCUGCUUUUAAUAAAACAAACACAGUGUUGCAGGUGGAACAAAACUCGACUUGGAUGACCCCAUACCGAAUACCUGGAGAAGGGAAAGCUCCCUGAGGAUAAAGAUGAAGCCAGAAAGAUAGCAGCUCGUGCUGCCAACUACCAAGCAGUAAGAGGGACCUUAUACAGAAAAGGGAAAUCCAGCCCGUGGCUCCUGUGUGUGAGCCCGGAAGAGGCUACAAAGGUGAUGGAAGAGAUACACAGGGGAAUGUGCGGAGCUCACGAAGGAGCAGGGACAUUAGCCAAUAAAAUAUUCAGGCAAGGGUACUACUGGCCCACUGUUAAAAGAGAAGCAGAAGAGUUUGUCCGAAGGUGCGACGUAUGCCAAAGAUUUGCUAACGCCAUCAAAGUCCCAGCCACUCCUCGAGCCAGCAUAUCCAGUCCAUGGCCAUUCUCGCAAUGGGGAAUAGACAUCCUGGGACCCUUCCCCAAGACCACGGGGCAGAGGAAAUUCAUAGUGGUGGCUGUAGAAUACUUCUCAAAAUGGCCAGAGGCGGAAGCAAUAGCCACGAUCACAGCUCCCAAGAUGAUAGACUUCGUAUGGGGAAACAUUAUCUGCAGGUUUGGCAUACCGAAAGUGCUCAUAUCUAACAAUGGCAGACAAUUUGAUUGUAGCACCUUCAGAGCAUUUACGGCGAACAUGGGCAUAUGGCACAAAUUCUCCUCAGUAGCCCAUCCUCAAACUAACGGUUAAACAGAGGUCACCAACAGAGCUAUCCUCCAAGGACUGAAAAAACGGCUGGAUGGGGCAAAAGUGAAUUGGGCGGAAGAACUCAAUAGCAUCCUAUGGGCACUCCGAACCACCCCUAGGGCGUCCACUAAAGAAACGCCUUUUGCACUAGCAUUUGGCACUGAGGCUGUAGUCCCAGUCGAGUUACAAGUCCCCACACACCGAGUCCAGUUCAAUAGUAAAGACACCAACGAAGAUAAACUAAGAAGCAACCUGGAUGCUCUGGAAGAAGUCAGGGAGGAAGCUCAAGUCCGAACUGCUGCUUAUCAACAACGGGCAGCCCGUUAUUACAACCAAAAGGUCAGGGAAAGAAGUCUAAGGGUAGGGGACCUAGCCCUAAGGAACUUGGAAGCUACGGGAAAAAGAGCGACAGUGGGCAAGUUGGCACCAACCUGGGAGGGCCCAUUCAGGAUAACAAAAGUAGUUAAACCAGGAGUAUACCAAAUUGAAGAUAUGCAAGGAAACCCUGAGCCCCACGCCUGGAAUAUCCAGCACCUAAAGAGGUACUUCCCCUAAUAUAUUUGUAAAGAAAAACAUUGUACUCUGAAAAACAUGAAUAAAUAAAACAACACCAUUGUUUACACAACGAGAUUAUCUCUAUUACUAUUAUGAAUGAUAAUUCUCCAUAGAAAAGAAAGAACAGAGUUCAGAAAGACCUCCUUGAGGUAUAGAGACCUCCUGAAGGCAGUAGACCGGGAUCCCCAAGAUCUCCCGGAAGUACAAGUUUAGGAUCCCUAAGAUCUCCUGGCAAUGAAGAUCCUGAGACAUAGAGACCUCAGAGGUAGAAGACCGGGAUCCCCAAGAUCUCCCGGAUACAAGUCCAGGAUCCCCAAGAUCUCCCGGCAAUGAAGACCCUGAGACAUAGAGACCUCAGAGGUAGAAGACCGGGAUCCCCUAGAAAUCCCGGGAAAACAAAACAAAAACGGCCGGUGAGGAUCUUAAAAGACCUCCCGGAGCAAGAAGACCGGGAUCCCCUAGAACUCCCGGGAAAAGAAAACAAAAACGGCCGGUGAGGAUCUUAAAAGACCUCCCGGAGCAAGAAGACCAAGAUCCCCUAGAACUCCCGGGAAAACAAAACAAAAACGGCCGGUGAGGAUCUUAAAGACCUCCCAGAGCACGAAGACCGGGAUCCCCUAAAACUCCUGGGAAAACAAAGAAGACUGGGAUCCCCUAGAACUCCCAGGAAAACAAAGAAGACCGGGAUCCCCUAGAACUCCCGGGAAAACAAAGAAGACCAGGAUCCCUUAGAACUCUCGGGAAAACAAAACAAAAACGGUCGGUGAAGGUCUUAAGGGCCUCCCGGAGCAAAAAUUCCCAAUAUCAUGUGCAUGGACAACUCAUAAAGACACAGCUCCGAUCUCGCGCGAAAGAUGAGUCCUAAGCUACCAAUGAAAAACCAGAUUCCGACCUCCCGAAGGAGCUCGGGGCACAAUAGCCAAGAGCGCCACAGCCCCAGGCCAACCUCAAAAAAUGAGCUCGGUACUGGAAAAUCCAAUAAGAAAAACGAAUUAAAGGCAAAGUGAAUCCUAAGCAAAAUGCGUACCGAAAUACAGAGAAACAGGGACAAUCAUAAGAGGCACCGACCUCGCGAAUUGACCGCUGGCACUAAACUAGCUCAACUAGCCUAGAGAGAGGUCUAAACAGCAAAGAGCCCGGAAAAUACUCAGGGGUACAAGAAGCAUCACAGACUGUAGGCAUAAAAGCCUAAGCAAGGGGCAAGUAACCGAGCUCCCAAACUAAGUCCGACCUCACAAACGAGCUCGGGGCACCAAAGAGAAAAAAAAAGCGAAAUUCCGAACUCCCGAGCUCGCGAUACAAGAAGCGUUAUAGACUGUAGGCAUAAAAGCCUAAGCAAAGAGCAAAGAACCGAGCUCCCAGCUCGGAUAGACUCGCAACAUGAAACACUCAGGUAGAAUGAAGCUAAGUAUAAAGGAAAUAACAGAGAACCGAGCUCCCUCUAUGAAAAGGCCCAUAAAUGCAGGAACACAUAGGAGGAUAAACGAAGGUAAAGGACUGUGCUCACAGCUCGAGUCAGUUUGCCAUGAACAAACAUUUUGCAAGAAUAACCCAAGAAGAAGGAAAACGACAAAGGCCGAACCCCCCAUCCCAGAGGAGCACGCAGAUUAAGUUGCACCGCCUGACAAAGGAUCACCUUGAGGAGGACCAGACAUCCGAGCUCACAACUAGAAAGCAAAGUAAAAUCGUCUAAAAAGAAGCCGUGCAAGUACAAAUGAAGUAUAGGGAUUUACUCCCUCACUAUUCAUGUAAUAAAUACUGAGGAAGUAAAGGGGCAAUCCAAGGAAAAUCUAAUGGCACGAAGCAGAUAAAACCUCAGCUCCAGUCCCUGUCAAGACAGAACUAAAGGCAGAAAUACGAGCCCUGCUCAUCAUCGCGACAGGUACAUGAUUUGACUUAUUAUUACUCAGCAAAGGCUGUGCGCCCGAGCUCACAUUAAUAAAGUAACGAGGAUAAAAACUUGUAAAUUGAAAGCCUUGAUCAGUGUUAAAAACAGAGCUCACGAGUGCAGCUAGCCCAGCUCGGAAAGAGCUUACGGACAAAAAUGCCUUAGGGAAAUAAAUAAAUCUAUAGGUCAAAAGUUCACAGCGGAUUCCUUAGGAAAAUUCCGAAACACACAGUUUAAGUGAUUCAUUCUUGAUAAACAGAGAUAAGUUCAAGUAUGAGGGAAAAACAAGAAGCAGUCCAAAUAAAUAAAAAUGAAGUUUCAUUAAAAGAAAAGUACAUUUAUAGCACAUUACAAGUGCCUACUCCACUGAAGGAAAAACUGUCCUCAAAGGACUUACACAACCAGAAGCGCUAUUAUCUACCCUGAUCCCUUUUUAGCUCGGCGGACUCCUUAUACUCCCUUAGAGGUCCCCUACUCGUCGACCGAACUCCAUCUUGUUAUUAAAGGAGAGCUGAACAAGUUGAUUCCCAUAAGCAUUUCUCACUGUUCUGUCAUAAGCAGGCUUCCUGUCACCCAAGUGUGAUGCACGAUACACUCGAGCAAGCCGAGGAAAAUUGAUCAGGCAUUCUGAAGAGCAAUGGAACAAGUGAAUGUUGUAAAUCUACACACAUACUAUGUUGGACUAAUUUUAGCAGAUUACUCUUGCUAAUAUUACGUGUGUGAACAACAUCUUGUAUCUCAUAGUAAGCCUCAGAAACCAUGUUAUUCCAUGAGUUUGAGUCAGGAGCAGACAUCAGGGGAACCACGAGAAUCCUCUCCUCUUCCCCGGGAGAAAGAAAGACGUGAGCCGAUCUUCCGGAAGCCCAAGACUUCUUUGGAGCAUGAACCAAGACAAACACUUUGAGGAGAAUAGGACACUUGCCUCCGACCUUCUCCGCUACACCCCCAUCAUCCAUAAAGCUGGGUUCCCUAUCCUCAUCAGUUGGACUGACCUCGGAGGGGACCCCAUAGACAUUCCUCACAGAGGCGAUCUUAGCCCGGCUAGCAAGGGUCCUCAUCUCAGCUAUGAAGGCCUCAGGCCUCUCUCCAGAAGCGUCGCUAAAAGACGAGGCAGGCUUCGUUGUCGUCAAACCGGAGUCCUCGCUCGACCUUAAAGCCCGAGAGAACCUGAGAGCUUGAACAACCAGCACGAUUGAAAUAGACUUGUCAAUACUUGGCUGCCUUAAAGAUUCGGCACCGCUAAAGCUCGGCUCCAGAGCUUGGGCAGGAACAAGAGAAGGAGGCCGGCUGGACGACCCAAACGACAUAACUUCGGUCACUAGCUGGGUAAACCCCCCGCCGAUCGUCCAACCAGGAGGGCGUCCAGGGCUACAUUCAGGCUCCCCCUGGAUAGCGUAAGAAUUUUAGGGGGUUCAAUCUGAUUCAUCUUCACCUAAGAAACUGCAAAAAAUCCAAAACCUGGGCAAGUCAGAACGGCUCUCAACAAGAAUCACAAAAGCAAGAUCAAAACGGACAUCUAUAAGGGACAAGGUAAUAAAACUUUUGGCUCGCCUUGACCAGCCCGAAUAAGGUACCAUAUGGAUGCCUCAUGAACGUGAAACCCCCACUCGGACAGAUAGGUUCAAAAGAAAACAUGAAGAGAA